rnacentral:rRNA from 1 species
UACGUAGGGGGCUAGCGUUGUCCGGAAUUAUUGGGCGUAAAGCGCGCGCAGGCGGUCCCUUAAGUCUGAUGUGAAAGCCCACGGCUCAACCGUGGAAGGUCAUUGGAAACUGGAGGACUUGAGUACAGAAGAGGAAAGCGGAAUUCCACGUGUAGCGGUGAAAUGCGUAGAGAUGUGGAGGAACACCAGUGGCGAAGGCGGCUUUCUGGUCUGUAACUGACGCUGAGGCGCGAAAGCGUGGGGGGCAAACAGG